rnacentral:rRNA from 1 species
AUUGAACGCUGGCGGCAUGCCUUACACAUGCGAGUCGAACGGCAGCACGGGUGCUUGCCCCUGGUGGCGAGUGGCGAACGGGUGAGUAAUACAUCGGAACAUGUCCUGUAGUGGGGGAUAGCCCGGCGAAAGCCGGAUUAAUACCGCAUACGAUCUACGGAUGAAAGCGGGGGACCUUCGGGCCUCGCGCUAUAGGGUUGGCCGAUGGCUGAUUAGCUAGUUGGUGGGGUAAAGGCCUACCAAGGCGACGAUCAGUAGCUGGUCUGAGAGGACGACCAGCCACACUGGGACUGGGACACGGCCCAGACUCCUACGGGAGGCAGCAGUGGGGAAUUUUGGACAAUGGGCGAAAGCCUGAUCCAGCAAUGCCGCGUGUGUGAAGAAGGCCUUCGGGUUGUAAAGCACUUUUGUCCGGAAAGAAAUCCUUGGCCCUAAUACGGUCGGGGGAUGACGGUACCGGAAGAAUAAGCACCGGCUAACUACGUG